GGUGUUUCAUUCUGUCACUGUUGUAACUAAGUGGUGUGAAGCAUUUCCUUCACACUCUGUCUGCCUCCUCAGAGGUCGAAACUGGAGCUAUAUAAGCUGUACUAAGUAUUUCACAUACAUAACUGACAGUUAGAGGAAGUUUGGAUGGGAAGUCUCAUGAGCCAAGUUGUGACAACGACAUGUGACAUCUUUGUGAAAGGACACUAGAACUUCUGUCACUAUAUAAACUGAAAGAGUUAUUAGCAGAGUACUGAUCACUAGCGAUCAGACGUAUUUAGUUAUUAAACACCUUUGGAUUUCUGGUCGACCGAAGGAAUUUUGGACCCUUCUUCAAGAUCAAGUCUGGGCAAGUCUAGAUGUGUGCGAACGAGCUACAAGAAGUGAGAGUUGAGGAUGCUUUACUUGAACAGCCUGAGCCGAGGGCUGACUCGUGCAGCAUCGCCUGUCAGGACAUCUGUAAGGACACGGACCAUCGUAAACUAGCCAUUUGCAGCAUCAUAUGUGGCCUCUCCUGUCUUGGAAUUAUGUCCCUUAUGUACUCCGUCAAGGCCCGAGAGACAAGAAAACGACUUCAAAAUGAAGAUCGUCCAGAAACACGACAGAUGGUUGAGAAAUACUCAGAAAAGGCGUGUAAAUGGGGUAUUGGGUCCAUUGUAGCCUGGGUGGUUUUAAUUCUCAUCUUUCCAUUGCUGGUGGGUUUUCUGUCCUAUGUUGUAACCUUCAUAGAUUGACACUGAAGAAGCUUUUCUACAGUUAAAUGAGAAACCAAAGCAAAUGAACUGUAAGAGUGCAGAAAUAGACUCUUUCAUUGUUCACAUUGGACAUCUAGACCAUCCAGAAAUGUAACUUGAUGGCAAUAGGUUGGUCAAUAAUAGUCAUUAUUUAAAGUUUUGAAAGGUGCUGGAUCAAAGGUUAACAACUUCCUACCUAUAAGAUAAGAGGAUUCAACAGCUCAACAUUUGCAUUGCAAUUAAUCCAAUGCAGGUAGUUAAAAAUGCUACAGCAACUUUCAGGAAUUUGUUACAUGCAUGAGAUGGAGCCAUGCAUAAAACCAUCAGCACUGUCCAGACAGAAGCUACUUCUACACUUCAGCACAUUGAUUUUAUUUAUGCUCUUACUGCAAAUUGUAACUGAAACAUUGAGAAACUCACAGAGAGCAUAUCAUUCAAAUGUUGAGAUAUGGAUGUGGUUACAUUAUUAACAUUCUGUUUUUGUAAAUAAGUCGUACUGUUUUAAUACUUGUGCUUUUGAUGUUUUGUACACUGCAUGUAUUUCAGGCUUUGUAAUAAAAUGUGUUGCAGUCAAAA